GAUGAAGAACGCAGCGAAAUGCGAUAAGUAAUGUGAAUUGCAGAAUUCAGUGAAUCAUCGAAUCUUUGAACGCACAUUGCGCCCGCCAGUAUUCUGGCGGGCAUGCCUGUUCGAGCGUCAUUUCAACCAUCAAGCCCCCGGCUUGUGUUGGGGCCCUGCGGCUGCCGCAGGCCCUGAAAACCAGUGGCGGGCUCGCUAGUCACUCCGAGCGUAGUAGUUACAUCUCGCUCAGGGCGUGCUGCGGGUUCCGGCCGUUAAAAGCCUUAUUUACCCAAGGUUGACCUCGGAUCAGGUAGGAAGACCCGCUGAACUUAAGCAUAUCAAUAAGCGGAGGA
rnacentral:misc_RNA from 1 species